AUUGAACGCUGGCGGCAUGCCUUACGCAUGCAAGUCGAACGGCAGCACGGGAGCAAUCCUGGUGGCGAGUGGCGAACGGGUGAGUAAUAUAUCGGAACGUGCCCAGUCGUGGGGGAUAACGUAGCGAAAGCUACGCUAAUACCGCAUACGAUCUAUGGAUGAAAGCGGGGGAUCGCAAGACCUCGCGCGAUUGGAGCGGCCGAUAUCAGAUUAGGUAGUUGGUGAGGUAAAGGCUCACAAAGCCGACGAUCUGUAGCUGGUUUGAGAGGACGACCAGCCACACUGGGACUGAGACACGGCCCAGACUCCUACGGGAGGCAGCAGUGGGGAAUUUUGGACAAUGGGCGCAAGCCUGAUCCAGCAAUGCCGCGUGCAGGAUGAAGGCCUUCGGGUUGUAAACUGCUUUUGUACGGAACGAAACGGCGAGCUCUAAUACAGUUUGCUAAUGACGGUACCGUAAGAAUAAGCACCGGCUAACUACGUGCCAGCCGCCGCCGUAA
rnacentral:rRNA from 1 species